rnacentral:rRNA from 1 species
ACCUGCGGAGGAUCAUUAUUGAAUUUAAUGAGGGGAUAUUUGGUUGUAGCUGGCUCAUGAAUUUGGGCAUGUGCACACCUAUCUCUUUCAUCCACACACACCUGUGCACUUGUGAGGCAGAUGGGGAAUUUAUUGAUUGUUUUUUAAGAACAAUUGGUGCUGGACCCUCUGUCUACUCAAUAUAUAAACUCAAUUUAUUUAGAAAUGAAUGUAAUGGAUGUAACGCAUCUAAUACUAAGUUUCAACAACGGAUCUCUUGGCUCUCGCAUCGAUGAAGAACGCAGCGAAAUGCGAUAAGUAAUGUGAAUUGCAGAAUUCAGUGAAUCAUCGAAUCUUUGAACGCACCUUGCGCUCCUUGGUAUUCCUUGGAGCAUGCCUGUUUGAGUAUCAUGAAAUCUUCAAAGUAAAUCUUUUGUUAACUCAAUUGGUUCUACUUUGGUAUUGGAGGUCUUUGCAGCUUCACACCUGCUCCUCUUCGUUCAUUAGCUGGAUCUCAGUGUUAUGCUUGGUUCCACUCAGCGUGAUAAGUUAUCUAUCGCUGAGGACACUGUAACAGGUGGCCAAGGGAAAUGCAGAUGAACCGCUUCUAAUAGUCCAUUGACUUGGACACUAUUUUUAUGAUCUGAUCUCAAAUCAGGUAGGCUGGGGAUAGAGCAUUGCAAUUAUUGCUCUUCAACGAGGAAUCCCUAGUAAGCGCAAGUCAUCAGCUUGCGUUGAUUACGUCCCUGCCCUUUGUACACACCGCCCGUCGCUACUACCGAUUGAAUGGCUCAGUGAGGCGUUCGGACUGGCCCAGAGAGGUG